GAUGAACGCUGGCGGCGUGCCUAACACAUGCAAGUCGAACGGAGAUUACGGACGGAAGUUUUCGAAUGGAAGACUGUAAUUCUUAGUGGCGGACGGGUGAGUAACGCGUGGGCAACCUGCCCUAUACAGGGGGAUAGCAGCUGGAAACGGCUGGUAAGACCGCAUAAGUCGGCGAGACCGCAUGGUUUUGCCGGGAAAUGAGCAAUCAGGUAUAGGAUGGGCCCGCGUCCGAUUAGCCAGUUGGCAGGGUAAAAGCCUACCAAAGCAACGAUCGGUAGCCGGACUGAGAGGUCGGACGGCCACAUUGGGACUGAGACACGGCCCAAACUCCUACGGGAGGCAGCAGUGGGGGAUAUUGCACAAUGGAGGAAACUCUGAUGCAGCGACGCCGCGUGAGUGAAGAAGUAUUUCGGUAUGUAAAGCUCUAUCAGCAGGGAAGAUGAUGACGGUACCUGACUAAGAAGCCCCGGCUAACUACGUG
rnacentral:rRNA from 1 species